rnacentral:rRNA from 1 species
GACGAACGCUGGCGGCGUGCUUAACACAUGCAAGUCGAACGGAGUUACGUAUGAAGUAUUUCGGUACGGACUAUGUAACUUAGUGGCGAACGGGUGAGUAACACGUGGGCAACCUGCCCUUAACCGGGGGAUAACAUUGUGAAAACAGUGCUAAUACCGCAUAACAGAGUAUCGGGCAUCCGAUAUUUUUAAAAGGAGCAAUCCGGUUUUGGAUGGGCCCGCGUCCAAUUAGCUAGUUGGUGAGGUAACGGCUCACCAAGGCUACGAUUGGUAGCCGAACUGAGAGGUUGAUCGGCCACAUUGGGACUGAGACACGGCCCAGACUCCUACGGGAGGCAGCAGUGGGGAAUAUUGGGCAAUGGGCGAAAGCCUGACCCAGCGACGCCGCGUGAAGGAUGAAGGUCUUCGGAUUGUAAACUUCUUUGAUCAGGGAGAAAGAAAUGACGGUACCUGAAGAACAAGCCACGGCUAACUACGUG